CCUCUGAAAAAAAAAAAAAAAAAAUGCACGUUGUCGUAGCCCGCCUGAGUGAGAAAUAAAGACAUGCACACUCGUAGCUUCCUGGCGGGGCUGGCUUUGGCGUGAGAGAAGGGGGAAAAGGAUGGGUGGGCAGCAGCCGAGGGGACGGGGGCGAGAGGGGGCCGCAGCGCCCGGCCGGCCGGGAACCUCUUCCGCAGCCCCCGGGGGCAGAGCUGCCUCCUCUCCCCUUCCCUCCUUCUUUCCCAGAGGAUGCAGGGCGGGCUAGGCGCUUUGCCGGCGGAUCAGCCCCCUCUCCCCUGCGUGCCCCUCGGGCCCCGGGCCGGGGCAGCUCGCCCCGACCCUGCUGCCACCAGCGGGAGCCCCUCGCCCUACGGAGCCCUGGAUUCAUCUGGUUUUCGGGUAAGGAAACAAAGUCCCGCUGAUGGGAGCCUGCUGGAAGGACGUGGGCUUCGGGUCUCCAAACGAAGCCCCGAAGAGAAAUGUGCGCCGCGGCGAGUUUAGCUGAAGUGCAGCCGGAGCGAAAAAGAAUUGGGCUCCUAAGGCUUCUUGGUCUGUAGCGUUUGUAAUGUUCGUCUCGGGUUAAUUGCCUAACGACCGAAGGAGCUUUCUUUGCCGAGAGCUACCCCAGACACCCCGGAUACACCUCCUCGAGUUAACCAGUCCUGGCACAUGGGUGCAGCUGUCCCUGCGGCACAACGAAAUAAGCCUUCAGAUGGAACCGCGAGUGUAGAAUUGGUGUUAAAACGGUGUUUCCCGCCGAAUAUCCGAUAAGAGUCUUCUCGGGGGUUUGUUUCAUUUAACGACUUUCAUCUACAAGUUGAAUAAUGCAUGCGCUGGUACAGUGAGCGUCAUUUGGAGGACGCUACUCUCGAUUAAUGAGGGACAUAAGUUUAAGCCUCUCAAUUACUUACAUCCGAGAAUCCUCUUAUUUAUUUGUAAUUCUUUAAGAUUCUGAAGUUGUCGUAUUUAUUUCUUUAAGUGUGUGUGUGCAUCUGUCGACACAUAUAGAAAGAGAGAGACAUAUAGCUGUGUAUCUCCCGUGAUGCCCGUUGCCCCUCUCAGACUAAGAAGUGGCUGGGGCAGCAGAGCUGAGCGCGAGCUGGGAGAACGGGGAGAGAUUUUUGAUGGGUUAUUUCUAGCAUUUUUUCGGCUUCAGAUAUAUUUUAAAAUUUGCUUUUAAAUAUGUGCCUGGCGGGGGAAGGAAGGGAAGAAAGUGAAUUCUAAAAAUGAAAAGUAAACGCUGGAAAACUUCGAAGUGAGGCUGGCAGGGGCUGAGCCAGCCCGGACGAAACGAAGACGCUUUGCCCUUCUGCACAGCUUUGGGAGGAAGCUAGCUUUGUCGUGUAGAGGGAGGAAAGUCUUAUAAAAUCAACCAAAUCGUGCCGAUUCAUUUUGGGAAGAUAAUUCUUUUCGCUAAAAACGCGGGCCGAUUAUUACGUCGGAAAAUUAAUAGCAAUGAUGCCGGUGAUAACAACAACGCGUUAAAUUCUCUGCAAAUUGUAUCUAUAUGUAUGGCAGUCUGGAAUAGCGAGAAGUGCACUUGUUUUGUCGAAUAAACCGACUUAAGCCGAAUACAAUCCAUAUAAAAUGGUGUGGCACUCUAGGAGCUGGUACUGGUGGUAGCCCCUAAUAUGGGCAUUUCAGCAUCUGUCAUUUCUUCUCCCUCAAACAUGUGUUUUCUGGACAAAAUAAGAGCAGGACGGCACCGAAAUGGUUGCCGGCACGGUGCGAUAGAAGGCAGAUGAAGCAGAGCAGGCAUGAAUAAAGUAUUUCCCUUUUCUUCCUUUUAUGUAUUCCCAGCUGCGGUUUCUAUCUUACACCAAAACCUGCAGUGUCCGGCAGAAGAGCACGUCGGAAGACGGAAAGAGCUUUGAUCGCACGUCCAGCAGGCAACGCACUGGACUUCUUUCAGGGCCAGCUCCUGCCUCCCUCCUGCUGCACACCCUGAGCCGCACCUCGGCCUCCUCCCCGCGGGCAUCCUCUCCGCUCCCCCUGGCUGCCCCCCUUCUAUCCGUCCAGGAAAGACGACGGGGAACACGGGGAGCUUGCCCCCCGAGCCCCGAUCUGAGCACUGCCUGUGGCUCCGUCUUUCCAGAGGGUCCCAGCAUUCAUCCCUAGGGCAUCCGCUGCAACUUGCAUCUGUGGCACAGCUGCGAUUUUGAACUUCCGACGCGUUUAUUAAUUAAACUGGAGCUGGCUGCUCUGCGAUCUUCGCA